rnacentral:tRNA from 1 species
GACCGCGUAGCUCAGUUGGAAGAGCAUUGGACUAGUAUUCCAAAGGUCGUAGGUUCGAAUCCCACCGUGGCCA